rnacentral:tRNA from 1 species
AAGACUACUAAUUUCGACUUAGUAAAUUGUGGUUAAUCAUCACAACCCCCCU